GGCUCGGUAGCUCAAUUGGUAGAGCACCUGACUCCAGAUCAGAAGGUUGCGAGUUCAAGUCUCCCCCGGGUCA
rnacentral:tRNA from 1 species